ACAGGGAUUGCCCCAGUACGGCGAGUGAAGCGGCAACAGCUCAAAUUUGAAAUCUGGCUCUCGGGCCCGAGUUGUAAUUUGUAGAGGAUGCUUUUGGUGAGGUGCCUUCCGAGUUCCCUGGAACGGGACGCCAUAGAGGGUGAGAGCCCCGUCUGGUUGGACGCCGAACCUCUGUAAAGCUCCUUCGACGAGUCGAGUAGUUUGGGAAUGCUGCUCUAAAUGGGAGGUAUAUGUCUUCUAAAGCUAAAUACCGGCCAGAGACCGAUAGCGCACAAGUAGAGUGAUCGAAAGAUGAAAAGAACUUUGAAAAGAGAGUUAAACAGUACGUGAAAUUGUUGAAAGGGAAGCGCUUGUGACCAGACUUGGGCUUGGUUGAUCAUCCGGGGUUCUCCCCGGUGCACUCUUCCGGCUCAGGCCAGCAUCAGUUCGCCCUGGGGGAUAAAGGCAUCGGGAACGUGGCUCUCUCCGGGGAGUGUUAUAGCCCGUUGCGUAAUACCCUGUGGCGGACUGAGGUUCGCGCAUUCGCAAGGAUGCUGGCGUAAUGGUCAUCAGUGAC
rnacentral:rRNA from 1 species